rnacentral:lncRNA from 1 species
CAGUUCAUUGUUCUUUCCCAUAAGUCAACAGUGACUGGGCAGAACAAUAGCAAAUGGUCUCUAGUUUCUGGGUGAUUUUGGCAUAAGGUACAUUGUUGGUCAACACUCAUUCCCCAGUUGUGAAAUCUGUCUUUUGUUGGGAGUCUGUCCUGUAAGAAUAGCCAUAGAUUGAAGGUGGCCUUUGGCCUCGCAUAGUUUUGUAUGAUUAAAUUCUUCCAUGGGACUCUCGGCAGGUCUUGCAUCUGUGACUGGUACAACUGUCUAGUUGAGCAUCUCUGUUCCUUCCCAUAAGUCCACAGUGACUGGGCAGGAUACUAGUAGAUGGUCUCUAGUUUCUGGGUGAUUUUUGGCAUAAGGUACAUUGUUGGUCAAUACUCAUUCCUCUUCUGUGCAAUCUGUCCUUUGUUGGGAGUCUGUCCUGUAAGAAUAGCCAUAGAUUGAAGGUGGCCUUUGGCCUCGCAUAGUUUUGUAUGAUUAAAUUCUUCCAUGGGACUCUCGGCAGGUCUUGCAUAUGUGAAUGGUACAACUGUCUAAUUGAGCAUCCUUGUUCCUUCCAGUUCUGGACCCUCUGUAAGAUGUCUCUCGAUUGGAUGAUCUUUCUAACCAUCCAACUUGCCUGAGCAGGAAUUGGAAUGGAUUCAAUAGGU